UGAAUACGGGCAAACGGAGGACGAGUGCGACGGCAGACCGCUCGUCAGGGAUGCGUGUAACUGUUGCGACGUCUGCGGCAAGGUCAAGGGCGACGUUUGCUACGACUACAAAGUAGUAGGAGAACCACUAGGCUGUGCCGAUGGUUCAUCUUGCAUGAGGGUCGAGCAUGGUCUACAGUGCAUGUAACAAUAUAGCAGCGAUGAAAGACGGCAUCAGGAGCAAACAGACCCAAAGUUUGCUUUUAUUCAAUUCGGAUACUAUCAUAAUAUUCUUCUGAUCGGAUGUGUUUACUUGGAUGUACAUUGGGAAUUUAAUAACUAAAAUUUACAGUGCGCCUUUAAAGUAUAAAAUAAAAUUUCCAAUGAAAAGAGGGAUCGCGUGGAGGGCAAAUAAUAAUAUAUUAAAUUGUCUUCAAAUGGCGAAUCAUCGGUAAAUUAUAUGCACUGCACCAAUAUUGUAUGUAUUUUCUUCUGUUGAUCUACAAUUUUGGUACAUGUACAUUACAUGUUGGUAAUCUACCUAGACAUAGACAGGACUGAGAUGGAAUAAACACAUUUAAUUAUGUUAAU